AUACGUAGGGGGCAAGCGUUGUCCGGAAUGAUUGGGCGUAAAGGGCGCGUAGGCGGCCCGUUAAGUCUGAAGUGAAAGUCCUGGUUUUAAGCUGGGAAUUGCUUUGGAUACUGACGGGCUUGAGUGCAGGAGAGGUAAGUGGAAUUCCCAGUGUAGCGGUGAAAUGCGUAGAGAUUGGGAGGAACACCAGUGGCGAAGGCGACUUACUGGACUGUAACUGACGCUGAGGCGCGAAAGUGUGGGGAGCAAACAGGAUUAGAUACCCUGGUAGUCCACACUGUAAACGAUGAAUGCUAGGUGUAGGGGGUAUCGACCCCUUCUGUGCCGCAGUCAACACAAUAAGCAUUCCGCCUGGGGAGUACGGCCGCAAGGUUGAAACUCAAAUGAAUUGACGGGG
rnacentral:rRNA from 1 species